rnacentral:rRNA from 1 species
CAAUAGCGUAUAUUAAAGUUGUUGCGGUUAAAAAGCUCGUAGUUGGAUUUCUGCCGAGGACGACCGGUCCGCCCUCUGGGUGUGUAUCUGGUUUGGCCUGGGCAUCUUCUUGGAGAACGUAGCUGCACUUGACUGUGUGGUGCGGUGUCCAGGGCUUUUACUUUGAGGAAAUUAGAGUGUUUCAAGCAGGCACACGCCUUGAAUACAUUAGCAUGGAAUAAUAAGAUAGGACCUCGGUUCUAUUUUGUUGGUUUCUAGAGCUGAGGUAAUGAUUAAUAGGGAUAGUUGGGGGCAUUCGUAUUUAACUGUCAGAGGUGAAAUUCUUGGAUUUGUUAAAGACGGACUACUGCGAAANCANNNGCCAAGGAUGUUUUCAUNGA